ensembl:lncRNA
AAAAAAUCUGGAGAACACCUCCCAAAAAAAAAUCAGGAAGGGCCCCAAAAAUAUCGGGGGGACCCCAAAAAAUUCCCCAAAUUUUCCACCGAGGCCUUGGCACCCCAAAAUUUACCCUGAGGGGCAAAAUUUGGGAGGGAGCCCCCUAAAAAAUCAGAAUUUUCCCCGAAAAUCCCCAAAUUUGGGUUGUUUUGGGGUUUUCUUUGUGCUGGAUUUGAAUGGGGGACCCCAAAAUUUGACACCUCAAAUUUGUCACCCAGGUGUUAUUUCCCAGCGUUUUGGGGUGAUUUCUCAUCAUUUUGGGGUCAUUCCUGACCACUUUGGCCUCCUUGCCACCACCCCGGUGGUCACUCCCUCAGUGUCCAGCAGCGUCCAGGUGUCCGGCGGUCACUCCCCACAAUUUUGGGGUCACUUCGAGUCACUUCAGGGGUCACUUCAUGUCCCUUUGGUGGUCACUUCGUGGUCACUUCGCCCUCCUUGUCCCCCCUCAAUGUCCAGCGGUCACUCCCCACCACUCUGGGGUCACUCUCCACCAUUUUGGGGUCACUUCGAGCCACUUCAGGGGUCACUCUGUGCCACUCUGGUGGUCACUUUGUGGUCACUUCGCCCCCAGGCCAGUGGUCACCGCCUCAAUGUCCAGCGGUCACUCCCCACGAUUUUGGGGACACUUUGUGCCACUUUGGGGAUCACUUUGUGGUCACUUUGGCCUCCUUGCCACCAGGUGGUCACUCCCCAUGAUUUUGGGGUCACUCCCCACCACUUUGGGGUCACUUUGUGCCACUCUGGUGGUCACUCUGUGGUCACGUCACCCUUCUUACCACCACCCCAGUGGUCACCCCCGCAAUGUCCAGCAGGGUCCAGAUGUCCAGUGGUCACUCUCCACCACUCUGGGGUCACUUUGUGCCACUUUGGGGGUCACUCUGAUGGUCACUUUGUAGUCACUUUGGCCUCCUUGCCAUCACCCCAGUGGUCACUCCUUCAAUGUCCAGCAGGGAUUCAGUGUCCAGUGGUCACUCUCCACCACUCUGGGGUCACUCUCCCCCGUUUUGGGGUCACUUUGUGCCACUUUGGGGUCACUUUGUGCCACUCUGGUGGUCACUCUGGUGGUCACUCUGUGUGGUCACUCUGCGGUCACUCUGUGGUCACUUCACCCCCUCACUGCCCCCUCACUCCCCUCCCUCCACCCCCACCCCUCCACCCCCGGGAGAGAACCCAGCACCCCCCAGCCGCUGCCCCACCCCCACCCCCACCCACCGCACGCCGGGCCCUCCCCCCGCCCCAACAUCAACGCAUGACCACGCCCCCCUCGGCCCCGCCCGCUUCCAGAACGUUCUGCGCCGUGGUUUUGCCGUGCUGCUCCUUGAGGUGCCGCCGGAUGGCCGGCUUGUGGGCGAAGCGCACGUCGCAGUAGGAGCAGCGGUAGGGCCGCGCGCCGCUGUGCAGGUUCAGGUGGUCGUGCAGCGUGGAUUUCUGCGUGAAGCUCUUGCCGCAGACGCCGCAGCCGUGCGACUUGACGCCGCGGUGCACGUUCAUGUGCCGGUUCAGGUUGGAGCUGUGGUUGAACUGCUUGCCGCAGCGCGGGCACAUGAACACGAAGUGCUGCGCGCGCAUGUGGAACACCAGCUUCUCCACGCCCUGGAAGCUCUCCCCGCACUUCCCGCAGCGCGACGAGGACGAGGACGAGGAUGAUGAUGAUGACGGCGUGGGCGUGGCGGUGGUCGAGGCGCCCGCGGCUCCUUGGCCGCCCGGCGGUUCCUCGCUGGUGGCCGCUGUGGCGUUGCCGCCUCCGCCUCCGGGGAAGAUGACCAAGCCUUCGCCCUCGGCGUCCUCGGCCAGGCUGUAGCACGCCUUGACCACCCCGAGCUGCGCCGUGGCGUUGUCCGGCGUGGCGGCCACCACCGCGGUCACUCCUGCCGGACCUUGGCUCACCACCUCGCUGGCGGCCACCACCGGCCACCUCCGGCCCCGGCGCCGCGUGGCCGGCUCCACCUUGGGGGGGGAAUUGGGGCACGAAA